GGAUGAACGCUGGCGGCGUGCCUAACACAUGCAAGUCGAACGAAGCGUCCCGCCCGAAGAAAAGGAGUGCUUGCACAAAUUUGAUUCAAUUGGGACGACUUAGUGGCGGACGGGUGAGUAACGCGUGGGUAACCUGCCUUAUACAGGGGGAUAACAGUUAGAAAUGACUGCUAAUACCGCAUAAGCGCACAGCACCGCAUGGUGCAGUGUGAAAAGCCGAGACGGUAUAAGAUGGACCCGCGUCUGAUUAGCCAGUUGGCAGGGUAACGGCCUACCAAAGCGACGAUCAGUAGCCGGCCUGAGAGGGUGAACGGCCACAUUGGGACUGAGACACGGCCCAAACUCCUACGGGAGGCAGCAGUGGGGGAUAUUGCACAAUGGGGGAAACCCUGAUGCAGCGACGCCGCGUGAGUGAUGAAGUAUUUCGGUAUGUAAAGCUCUAUCAGCAGGGAAGAAAAUGACGGUACCUGACUAAGAAGCUCCGGCUAAUACGUGCC
rnacentral:rRNA from 1 species